rnacentral:rRNA from 1 species
ACGGCUCAGUAACACGUGGUUAACCUGCCCUUGGGACGGGAACACCCCCGGGAAACUGGGGCUAAUCCCCGAUAGGUGAAGAACCCUGGAAUGAGUUUUCGCCCGAAAAGCCGUCGGAGCAUCUUUCGACGGUGCCUAAGGAUGGGGCCGCGACCGAUCAGGUUGUUGGUGAGGUAAUGGCUCACCAAGCCUAUAACCGGUGCGGGCCGUGAGAGCGGGAGCCCGGAGAUGGGCACUGAGACAAGGGCCCAGGUCCUACGGGGCGCAGCAGUCGCGAAACCUUUGCAAUACACGCAAGUGUGACAGGGUCAUCCCGAGUGCCGACCGCUGAGGUUGGCUUUUACCCAGUCUAGAAAGCUGGGGGAAUAAGGAGAGGGCAAGUCUGGUGUCAGCCGCCGCGGUAAUACCAGCUCUCCGAGUGGUGUGGACGUUUAUUGGGCCUAAAGCAUCCGUAGCUGGCUGAACAAGUCCCCUGUUAAACCCACCGAUUUAAUCGUUGGCUUGCGGGGGAUACUGCUCGGCUAGGGGACGAGAGAGGCAGACGGUAUUCCCGGGGUAGGGGUGAAAUCCUAUAAUCCCGAGAAGACCACCAGUGGCGAAGGCUGUCUGCUAGAACGCGCCCGACGGUGAGGGAUGAAAGCUGGGGGAGCGAACCGGAUUAGAUACCCGGGUAGUCCCAGCUGUAAACGAUGCAGACUAGGUGUUUGGACGGCCACGUGCCGUUCUAGUGCCGCAGGGAAGCUGUUAAGUCUGCCGCCUGGGGAGUACGAUCGCAAGAUUGAAACUUAAAAGGAAUUGGCGGGGGAG